rnacentral:misc_RNA from 1 species
CCUCCUUUCUAAGGAAACCAAUAAAAUCAAUCAUCUUCAGUUUUGAAAGACUUAGGCAACUAAGUUUUUCUUCGUGACUUCACGAAGGGCCUAUAGCUCAGUUGGUUAGAGCACACGCCUGAUAAGCGUGAGGUCGGUGGUUCAAGUCCAUUUAGGCCCACCAGAGUUAUAGGUUUCGUAAGAACACAAAUUCUUUGAAAAUUAGGUAAAUAAUAGUUAUUAUCCGGAACAUAAAGAAUA